CAACCAGACGGGCUUAUUUAUAAUUUUUGUGCUGGAAGCCCGAUUGACCGAACACGCCGCUUCCUCUCCAUCCCUACCUGGACUAUUCAUUUUUUUUUUUUUUUUUUUUUUUUGGCUCUUCCCCCGGUUUGUCAUCCGCACGUACCGUGCUCCCGGCAGCACAAAAACCCCCCGAGAGCGAAUUGUCAAAUCCCGGCGACGUAUUACAUCCCACACACGUUUUGUACUAUACUUAUCUAUCGAGACGACGAGAUGGGAGCGGGCGGAUCGAAACCUGCGACGGCGACGGGGGCUGGGACUAGACAUAUAUUCUCAAGUGGCACCCCAAUUCAAUUCUCACAGGAAUUUGUCGAAUCCUUGCAGGCGAGCUCAGAGACCGACUCCUCCCGUGCACAAACGAUAGAACUCCACAUCCAGAACCGCAUCGCCGCAGAGCUCGAACGCAUCCGUGCCCGCGAAACACAGACCCUCGCCGACCUCGCAAAGCACAUUGCAGAGCAAUCCCCUCCUGACACCACCAUCUCCCAACCCCAAUCUAAUUCCCACAACACGGACCCAUCCCUCUCACUCGAUGCCCCGCGCGUCCCCCUCUCUGGCCCUGGUUCCCACGCCGAGCCCUCCCUCCAAUCUUCCUCAAAAUCCACAGUUACCGCUGCAAACGGCGUACCGAUAAAGGAACUGAGCAGCGCGCAGGUGCAGCAGGAGAUCUCGGCACUGAGCGCCAAGUUGGCGGAGAGACGGAGGGUUCGGGAGCUAGAUGCAGGGGUGGAGAAAGCGCGGGAUGAAGUCGUGAGGUGUUUGAGGGGAAAUGAGAAGAGGCCGCUGGACUGCUGGAGGGAGGUUGAAGGGUUUAAGAGGGAGGUUGGGCGAUUGGAGAGGCUGUGGGUGGAGAAAGUUGUUGGGUAGGCGGAUGGGACCUUUUGUGAUCGAAUGUAUUUUAUGAUAGGUGAGCUUCGAUGACCAAGCGUCGUAGUGGCGGUUGGUGCGGGAAUUUGUUUUUGGAGUGGAGAAGAGACUAUUCUUUUCUGGCUUUGAAAUGUAUACAUAUAUAAUGUUUUUGAUUGCUGCCUUUUUUCGACUUCACAUGUUCCUGCUCACUUUCAGUAGGAAAAGGUUUAGAAAAUGACGAUAUUUCGCAUGCUCUUCCCGUCUCUCGAUGAAGUGAAAAAUAAAUGUACAAUAAGAUAACUAAAUAUGUUUCCUAUGUAUAGUCGGUCAAGGGGAAUUGAAAGCCGCUCGUUGCAAACCAUACA
rnacentral:sRNA from 1 species